AUUGAACGCUGGCGGCAGGCCUAACACAUGCAAGUCGAACGAGUGGCGGACGGGUGAGUAAUGUCUGGGAAACUGCCCGAUGGAGGGGGAUAACUACUGGAAACGGUAGCUAAUACCGCAUACCAUCGGAUGUGCCCAGAUGGGAUUAGCUAGUGGGGGGGGUAACGGGUCACCUAGGCGACGAGCCCUAGCUGGUCUGAGAGGAUGACAAGCCACACUGGAGCUGAGACCCGGUCCAGACGCCUCCGGGAGGCAGCAGUGGGGAAGAGUGCACAAUGGGCGCAAGUCUUAUGCAGCCAUGCCGCGUGUAUGGAGAAGGCCUUCGGGUUGUAAUGUACUUUCAGCGAGGAGGCGUUACUCGCAGAAGAAGCACCGGCUAACUCCGUGCCAGCAGCCGCGGUAAUAC
rnacentral:rRNA from 1 species